rnacentral:rRNA from 1 species
GACGAACGCUGGCGGCGUGCCUAAUACAUGCAAGUCGAACGCAGUGGGGACGGGUGAGUAACACGUGGGUAACCUCCCAUCAGAGGGGAUAACACUUGGAAACAGGUGCUAAACCGAUACUGAUGGCUGGACGCGCGGUGCAUUAGCUAGUUGGGGAGGUAUCGGCUCACCAAGGCCACUAUGCAUAGCCGGCCUGCGAGGGCUGUCGGCCACACUGGGACUGCGACACGGGCCAGACUCCUACGGAGGGCAGCAGUAGGGAAUCUUCUGCAAUGGACGAAAGUCUGACCGAGCAACACCGGGUGAGUGAAGAAGGUUUUCGGAUCGUAAAACGCUUAUGAUAGAGGAGGGGUAUCUAACGAAGAAGCCCCGGCUAAAUACGUGCCAGCAGCCGCGGUAAUAC